GUAAGUAGAGAGUCUUGUUGCUGUGCGUUCAAAUUGCAAUCUGUGUAGCAGAAAACAUUUCGUGGAAACGGCCGAAACAAGUCAAGUCGGUGGUGUGUGCGAGAAAAUAGCACGCCGUGUUCGUAUUCGAGAGACAAACCAACUGAACGGAACUGAACUGACUGCCAGAAACUAUGGUUCGUUAUUUGAGAUACAGAGCACAGAGCAAAAGCAAGCAGUAAUAGUUCGAUCCACAAAAAUUGAGUUAUUGUAAUUUGUCAUCGAAGCUCGAAACUUUCAAUGUGCUAUCUAAGCCAAAACAAAAUAAGGCAAAGUGCAAAAAUGGCUCAUAAAUUCAAAUAUGUAAAGCUUACGUAAGUGCAAAAGGCACAACAGUUGUACACGUGUGACAGAGUCAGCAUGACUGUUUCAAGCAAUGAUAACAGGGUGUUUCGGUGUCUGCUCAUGAUGAGCAUAUUAAUAUGACGACAAUAACGUGUCCGAUUGAGCAUUGCCACCCUGUACAAGAGAGAGAGCGAGCACACACACACUCAUAUGUAUGUACAUUUACAAAGAUACAGGCAACACUCACGAGUUCAAGCCACAGAGAUAUUGCAGUACAUAAUGAAAUCGACUGAACUGAAAAUCAGAAACCAAACAGACGAGUAGCUGGCUACAACACUGCCACGGUUACACUUUGUAGCAGCGACAGUGGCGGCGGCGGAGCGGCACACACCUUGCCUCACCUCACCUUACACUUGACUCACGCAUACACACAUAUGCACAUCUAUAUACAUAUACAUAGGUAUAUUCUUUGCAAGUGGUGGUGAAAUUGUAGUUUUUGCUGCUGCUGCUGUCAAAAAGGAAACGAGAAGACGCACAAAAAGACAGAGACACUACACACACCACAGCGGGCAUAGAAAGCAGCCAGACAAUUUGAGCGCAAGGUAAAAUAAAAAGAAACCAAGAACAACAACAAUGUGGAUGCAAGUUGCGGCGAUGCCAACGCCAUCUCACCAUGGCAAUGGCGGAGACGUACAUACAUACAUGUGUACGUAUGCAUGUUUGUAUGUAGAUGGCAUACCAUACAUAUGAGACAUAUGUACACGCAUAGAUCCAGAGCGCAUUGGUCGGCCUUUCGGCUCUCUGCAUUGGUCAAACACAUGUUGGAAUUUGAUCGGUCGCGAGAAAGAGCAACUAAACGUUGAAUGCGGGGGAGGGGGGUUGCCUGCAGCAGCAGAGGAGCGAGCGUCAAUAAAAAAUCUGUAUACUUGCGAAUUGAGCGCUCAUGGUGGUGAAAAUGGAAACCUUGCAAUUAUCGAUUUCUUUUUCGUGCGCUCACUGCAUUGCGCAGCGGAGGCGGAGAGCGACAACAGCAAUGGGAACGAGAACAUAGAAGGAGAGGCAAACUGUAAAAACAAAGAGAGAGAGAGUGGACUAUCACCUGCCUGUAGCAGCAGCAGAACAACAACUCAACAACUCAACUGCAUUAACCGAUAACUAUUGAUAAUAAUGGCAAAUCGAGUGAACCUAACUUAGUUGCAGAUACAACAACAACAUAUGACUGCUGACGGCUGAGUAAAGUUCAAAGUUCACGAGUAGGCGCCUGUGCAGUGUGCAGAUGCAUAGCAUACCCCCACUAGAAACUAAAACAAGUGCAAAAGGGACAACCACACUUAUGUCAAUAGUGAGGCUGUCUGUGUGUGUGCGAGUGCGUGUGUUGCAAUCUUGCCAAAUGCUGCACAGUGCUUGCAUGUUGUUGCUGUACGGACGGACACAAGUUUGUUUGCCUUUUCCAAGGAACUCUUGAUGAUGGUUUGACGUAUGUAUAUACCUCUUGCCACCCACACCAGACCUCAGCACACUUCGCGACGCCACGCCAUUUGCUGUUGCGCAACAAUAAACAAAGAUAUAUAAAUAUAUACAUAUAUCAAAUAUGCAUGCAUAUAUAUUACAUGCAUGUAAACAUGAGCAGUCCAACAACAACAACAACAACAACAGCAGCAGCUGCACCAGAAUCGUCAAUGUAACACCAACAACAACUGAUAAAUUAAAUACACUUAAUGCUCUGGGUUGCAUUUUAAAGCAAUUUUUGUUAAUUUGUAUGUACUCAUUUAUGUGAUAUCUCAGACAAUAGCUUAAAAUUACGUGCAAAGUCAGCUGAAAAUCGGAAUCAAAAGUGAAUCGAGUGUACAUAUCUAUACACCUUUAUAGACACGAUUCUACAGUGCUUAAUACCAAAGUUUAGACAUAUUUACAUGUAGAUAGAAGUCGAAUAAUAUUUCUGUACACCUUUUUUGAAAUUUCUACAUAUCAGAAGUGUUUUUUUUUUUUGUUUUUUUUAAGAAAAUUUCAAAAGAACUUCACAGAUAGAUCUUAAGCCGGGUUCAAGAUUUGCUUAUUAGCCCUUGAAAAAACAAACGAAAAACUUUGUAGCAAGGCGUUACUUACACAAACCCAAAGAAUCUCCAGAAACAAUCUCUAUUUACAUAAAAGGCGACACAAAAACAAAUGCAAAAGCGACGACAACGCGCCAAUCUUAGAUGAAAAAGAAAACAAAAGGACGUACGAAGACCAAAUACCCUUUAAAGCUAGCGAUCAGUUGGUAAAA